rnacentral:rRNA from 1 species
UGUUACGGCCAUGCUACCCUGGAACAAGCCCGAUCCCAUCUGAUCUCGGAAACUAAGCAGGGUCAGGCAUGGUUAGUACUUGGGUGGGAGACCCCCUAGGAAGACCAGGUACUAUAGGCG